ACAAUAAUGUGUAUCUUUAUUGAAGAUGUGCGCUUAAUUGCGCUGCUUCUUUAGAGUGUCGCAGUGAAAGUAGUCUUGCUUGAAUCUCAGUCAACGCUACACACAUUGGAGUUUUUUACUUUAAUUUAAUUCUUUCUGCUUUGAAUCGAAAGGUUCAAGGCAAAAAACAAACACAAACAAUUUUAUUUUAUUAUAAUUUUUUAAACUAAACCAAAAUUCCUAACGGAAAUUUUAAAAUAAUUUAAAACUUUCAACAACGGAUCUCUUGGUUCUCGCAUCGAUGAAGAACGUAGCGAAUUGCGAUAAGUAAUGUGAAUUGCAGAUACUCGUGAAUCAUUGAAUUUUUGAACGCACAUUGCGCCCUUGAGCAUUCUCAGGGGCAUGCCUGUUUGAGCGUCAUUUCCUUCUCAAAAGAUAAUUUAUUAUUUUUUGGUUGUGGGCGAUACUCAGGGUUAGCUUGAAAUUGGAGACUGUUUCAGUCUUUUUUAAUUCAACACUUAGCUUCUUUGGAGACGCUGUUCUCGCUGUGAUGUAUUUAUGGAUUUAUUCGUUUUACUUUACAAGGGAAAUGGUAACGUACCUUAGGCAAAGGGUUGCUUUUAAUAUUCAUCAAGUUUGACCUCAAAUCAGGUAGGAUUACCCGCUGAACUUAA
rnacentral:rRNA from 1 species